GACGAACGCUGGCGGCGUGCUUAACACAUGCAAGUCGAACGGAAAGGCCCUGCUUUUGUGGGGUGCUCGAGUGGCGAACGGGUGAGUAACACGUGAGUAACCUGCCCUUGACUUUGGGAUAACUUCAGGAAACUGGGGCUAAUACCAGAUAGGAGCUCCUGCUGCAUGGUGGGGGUUGGUAAGUUUCGGCGGUUGGGGAUGGACUCGCGGCUUAUCAGCUUGUUGGUGGGGUAGUGGCUUACCAAGGCUUUGACGGGUAGCCGGCCUGAGAGGGUGACCGGCCACAUUGGAACUGAGAUACGGCCCAGACUCCUACGGGAGGCAGCAGUGGGGAAUAUUGCACAAUGGGCGGAAGCCUGAUGCAGCAACGCCGCGUGCGGGAUGACGGCCUUCGGGUUGUAAACCGCUUUCGCCUGUGACGAAGCGUGAGUGACGGUAAUGGGUAAAGAAGCACCGGCUAACUACGUG
rnacentral:rRNA from 1 species